rnacentral:tRNA from 1 species
UCCUCUGUAGUUCAGUCUGUAGAACGGCGGACUGUUAAUCCGUAUGUCACUGGUUCGAGUCCAGUCAGAGGAGCCA